UACGGCCAUAUCAUGUUGAAAACACCAAUUCCCGUACGAUUAUUGAAGUUAAGCAAUGUUGAGUUUGGUUAGUAAUUAGAUGUGUUAUCGCUUGGGAAUACCAGCUGCU